rnacentral:rRNA from 1 species
ACGCUCGACACCUACGGGAGACAGCAGUGGGGAAUAUUGCACAAUGGGGGGAAACCCUGAUGCAGCGACGCCGCGUGAGCGAAGAAGUAUUUCGGUAUGUAAAGCUCUAUCAGCAGGGAAGAAACUGACGGUACCUGACUAAGAAGCACCGGCUAAAUACGUGCCAGCAGCCGCGGUAAUCUGAGCGGGCUGGCAAGGC